CCUACGGGAGGCAGCAGUGAGGAAUAUUGGUCAAUGGGCGCGAGCCUGAACCAGCCAAGUAGCGUGAAGGAUGACUGCCCUACGGGUUGUAAACUUCUUUUAUAAAGGAAUAAAGUGAGGCACGUGUUCCUCUUUGUAUGUACUUUAUGAAUAAGGAUCGACUAACUCCGUGCCAGCAGCCGCGGUAAUACGGAGGAGGCGAGCGUUAUUCGGAUUUAUUGGGUUUAAAGGGAGCGUAGAUGGGUUGUUAAGUCAGUUGUGAAAGUUUGCGGCUCAACCGGAGAAUUGCAUUUGAUACUGGCAGACUGGAGUGCAGGUGAGGUAGGCGGAAUUCGUGGUGUAGCGGUGAAAUGCGUAGAUAUCACGAAGAACUCCGAUUGCGAAGGCAGCUUACU
rnacentral:rRNA from 1 species